GUACCCGUAGCUCAAUUGGAUAGAGUGUCGGCCUCCGACGCCGAAGGUUGCGAGUUCGAGCCUCGCCGGGUACGCCA
rnacentral:tRNA from 1 species